CAGGAUGCUUGUUUCUGUCUCUCUUAAUAUCUUUCAUCUAGAUUCCAAACUAUUUUACAACUGGAGAAUCAAAUUCUGCCCAGAUACUCUAUUGAUCAUCAAGGUAGCUUAAACAAUUAAAAGACACCCUACUUAGCAUCUCUCCAUGGCAAGAAAUCACAAGCCACCAAUCUUUGAGAGCAAGACAUCCAAAGAAAGCUGUAGAGGAGAAGAGGCCAUGGGUUCCUUCCCUCAUACUGGUCAGCAGCAGCUUGAGUUGCAGGCAACAGCCUCAUUAACCUUCUCGCAAAACUGGUCAUGAGCUCCAGGGAUGAUCCCCGCCCCCGAGAACCUCAAGGGUUUCCACCAGACCGCAUCACGGAGUCUCGGCUCCUCUGGACUCACUGCUGAGG